rnacentral:rRNA from 1 species
GACGAACGCUGGCGGCGUGCUUAACACAUGCAAGUCGAACGGAAAGGCCCCUUUGGGGGUACUCGAGUGGCGAACGGGUGAGUAACACGUGAGUAACCUUCCCUUGACUUCGGGAUAACUUCAGGAAACUGGGGCUAAUACCGGAUAGGAAUCCUUGCUGCAUGGUGGGGGUUGGAAAGCUUCGGCGGUUUUGGAUGGACUCGCGGCUUAUCAGCUUGUUGGUGGGGUAGUGGCUUACCAAGGCUUUGACGGGUAGCCGGCCUGAGUGGGCGACCGGCCACAUUGGGACUGAGAUACGGCCCAGACUCCUACGGGAGGCAGCAGUGGGGAAUAUUGCACAAUGGGCGGAAGCCUGAUGCAGCAACGCCGCGUGCGGGAUGACGGCCUUCGGGUUGUAAACCGCUUUCAGCAGGGGCGAAGCUUGUGGUGACGGUACCUGCAGAAGAAGCACCGGCUAACUACGUG